AAGUUGCAGUUGCAGCAGUACGGGCCUGGAGAUUUGGUGACUGUCUUGUUGUUCAGUGAUGCAGCAGAACACUUGCAGUUGCUUGGGUGGCCUGGCCCUUUCAGUUGCAACUUGCAAAGUUCUGCAUAUGAUGUGCACCCUUGGUCAUCCGAUCCCAUGAACUGCUAACGAAACAACGCCCAACGUCGUGACUGUGGUCACGUUCUGCAACCAAGCAACCGCCCUACUCCGUUCUCCUCCAGCAGCAGCAAAAGAGUGCAGAGGAGCAGCAGCAGCAGUAGCUCGGGCACGGGAGAAGCACGGGAGACAGCAGAGCUCCAUCGGCGGGAGCUCGAGGAGAAGCAGCAAAGGGAGCUCGAGGAGAAGCAGCAGCCGGAGCUCAAGGAGAAGCAAUCGCGGGAGCUUGAGGAGAAGCAGCAGCGAGAGAUCGAGGACACGCGGGAGAGCAGUUUUGGGCGGCGGCGCAGAUCUGGGCGACGGCAGAGCAGGUCUGGGCGACGGCAGAUCAGGUCUGGGCGGCGGCGGCGGCGACGCCCAUACGGAAUCGCGGCUGGCCAGCGCCGGCCCCUGGCAAUCGUGCGGGGGACAAGCGGAGGAAGAUGUGGCGGAGGUGUCUGUUUGUCA